GCCUGCGAACAUGGCGGCGCCCGUUGUCACGGCCCCAGGCAGAGCUCUGCUGCGGGCGGGCGCUGGGCGGCUGCUGCGGGGAGGCGUCCAGGAGCUACUGCGGCCGCGACAUGAAGGGAACUCCCCUGACCUGGCCUGUAACUUCAGCCUCUCUCAAAAUCGGGGCACGGUCAUCGUGGAGCGCUGGUGGAAGGUACCGCUGGCCGGGGAGGGCCGGAAGCCGCGCCUGCACCGGCGACAUCGCGUCUAUAAGCUGGUGGAGGACACGAAGCAUCGGCCCAAAGAAAACCUGGAGCUCAUCCUGACGCAGUCGGUGGAGAGUAAGGCCCGGGCCGAGGCGCUUCCUCUCAGGCUGGUCCGGUUUGGCAUCAGCUUUUUCUAGCCCGUCCCCCUCAACUAUUUGCGUUGCUUUUUCUUUGUGGAAAUAAUCCAACUCUAUAUGUGAGAAGAGGAAGCCAUAAAAACUAUUGUGAUUGUGACAUUGGCCUCCAGCAUUGAAAAUUAAAACAUAAAGGCAGCAACAUCAUUAACAUUGUGUGGGGAGAGGAGCCUGACAAUUUGUGCCACAGAUGCUGAAAUCCUCCAUGGGACAACUCCUCCCUCUAUACAGAGGAUAUUAAAUUUAUACAUCAAGUUCUAAAGAAACUAAUUAGCAGUCUCUUAAAUCUUGUUCCUAGUGAAUAUGAAUUAGCA
rnacentral:sRNA from 1 species